rnacentral:miRNA from 1 species
UGAGGCAGGAGAAUUGCUUGAACCCAGGAGGUGGAGGUUGUAGUGAGCCGAGAUCGAGCCACUGCACUCCAGCCUAGGUGACAUAGCGAGACUCUGUCUCA